CAGUUAUUCCAUAGUAACUCCUCUCCUUUUCUCCUUGCUGACGAUGACCUGAAACAAAACAAACCCAACGAGAUCAAGGCGGUUCCUAUUGCCAAUGGCUUCUUCCACGGAGGGUCUGGUGCCCAUGACCAGGGCUUUUCUCACUUCUUAUUACGACACCUACAAAUUCCUUCCUCUCUCCGAUGACAUCCCCCGCCUCUCCUCCGAGAUUCGAUCCCUCACUGCCGAUUUGCUCUCCAACUCUCUGGCCACUCCAGGAUAAGAGAGAUUAGUAGUGGAUGAACUAGAGAGUCCUCUGCCGCAUAAAGUGGAUGAGAGUAUGUGGAAGAAUCAGGAGCAUAUGGAAGAGGUAGUCCUUUUACUUGAUAGGCCUCAUUGGCCUCAAUCGAGUCGUGGAACUCAGCUCAAGGAUAUUCCGAGCGAAAUCCUUUGUAUCUGCUGGUCAUCUUCAUUGGCUUUUUACUCUUUAAAGCACUAUAGGUGCAGCUAGACAUCUCGGCCGAAUCCGCAAUGCCACUAUCGUAUUCAGGACUUGAGUCUUUCAUUGCAAUGUUGAUUCUUCUGGUAAUGUAAGUUUGAAAAUCGUAAAGGAUGGUUGGAGUCCAGCACUAACGAUUACAAAGGUGCUACUAGCAAUUCGGUCCAUUUUCACAAAACCUGAUCCUUUGCCAACAAGUGCUUAAAGAGCUAGAAGCAAGUAUCGGUCAAUCUUGCUGGGGGUUUCUAUAUAGUCAUAAUUGCACUUACUUUUGAUUAGUAUAUAUUUGUUGGAUUUGAUCAUCUGCUACAAGCUUGGCCAAGUGGUUGAGACUUGCUGUGAAUAUAUGGGGACAACAUCAUUGCUGGUAAUAAGGCGGAAGUCUGGGGCACGAGUUCUUGUUGUUGUUGUGGACUAGUGAGCUCACUCUCUCUUUUGAAGGCGAGGUUUAUGUGUUUUUUGCUGUUAUGCCCCAGAAGGUCACUCUGUUUCUUUCUUCCUUGUAUAUUAUAAAUUGUUUAAUUCUAAAAUGCUUGUAUAUUAUGUACAUAGUAAGGCAUGCAUUAUCCCUUUUGUUUUCAUUGCAUUUGUUAAUUGUGUCAGGAACUAUAUGGUGGAAUGUUGCAUAAAGAG